GUCCUCUUGGUUGAAUAUGAGGUCUGACCUGCCCGGUGAAAAUUAUUUUAACGGCCGCAGUAUUUUGACUGUGCAAAGGUAGCAUAAUCAUUAGUCUUUUAAUAGAAGGCUGGUAUGAAGGGUUUGACGAGGUGUUGGCUGUCUCAUUUAAUUUGUAUUUAGAAUUUAAUUUUUCAGUCAAAAGGCUGAAAUUAUACUGGAAGACGAGAAGACCCUAUAGAGCUUUAUAAUUGAUUUUCUAAUAAGGUUUUGUUAUAUAAACUAUUAUUAUUAUAUUAAUUAUUUUGUUGGGGUGACAAAAAUAUAUAAUUAACUUUUUUAUUUAAUUAACAUUGAUUUAUGAAUAUUAGAUCCAUUAUUAUUGAUUGUUAGAUUAAGUUACC
rnacentral:rRNA from 1 species